rnacentral:rRNA from 1 species
ACGUGGGCAACCUGCCUGUAAGACUGGGAUAACUUCGGGAAACCGGAGCUAAUACCGGAUAAUCCUUUUCUACACAUGUAGAAAAGCUGAAAGACGGUUUACGCUGUCACUUACAGAUGGGCCCGCGGCGCAUUAGCUAGUUGGUGAGGUAACGGCUCACCAAGGCAACGAUGCGUAGCCGACCUGAGAGGGUGAUCGGCCACACUGGGACUGAGACACGGCCCAACUCCUACGGGAGGCAGCAGUAGGGAAUCUUCCGCAAUGGACGAAAGUCUGACGGAGCAACGCCGCGUGAGUGAUGAAGGUUUUCGGAUCGUAAAACUCUGUUGUUAGGGAAGAACAAGUACAAGAGUAACUGCUUGUACCUUGACGGUACCUAACCAGAAAGCCACGGCUAACUACGUGCCAGCAGCCGCGGUAAUACGUAGGUGGCAAGCGUUGUCCGGAAUUAUUGGGCGUAAAGCGCGCGCAGGCGGUCCUUUAAGUCUGAUGUGAAAGCCCACGGCUCAACCGUGGAGGGUCAUUGGAAACUGGGGGACUUGAGUGCAGAAGAGAAGAGUGGAAUUCCACGUGUAGCGGUGAAAUGCGUAGAGAUGUGGAGGAACACCAGUGGCGAAGGCGACUCUUUGGUCUGUAACUGACGCUGAGGCGCGAAAGCGUGGGGAGCAAACAGGAUUAGAUACCCUGGUAGUCCACGCCGUAAACGAUGAGUGCUAAGUGUUAGAGGGUUUCCGCCCUUUAGUGCUGCAGCAAACGCAUUAAGCACUCCGCCUGGGGAGUACGGCCGCAAGGCUGAAACUCAAAGGAAUUGACGGGGGCCCGCACAAGCGGUGGAGCAUGUGGUUUAAUUCGAAGCAACGCGAAGAACCUUACCAGGUCUUGACAUCCUCUGACACUCCUAGAGAUAGGACGUUCCCCUUCGGGGGACAGAGUGACAGGUGGUGCAUGGUUGUCGUCAGCUCGUGUCGUGAGAUGUUGGGUUAAGUCCCGCAACGAGCGCAACCCUUGAUCUUAGUUGCCAGCAUUAGUUGGGCACUCUAAGGUGACUGCCGGUGACAAACCGGAGGAAGGUGGGGAUGACGUCAAAUCAUCAUGCCCCUAUGACCUGGGCUACACACGUGCUACAAUGGAUGGUCAAAGGGAGCAAAGCGGUGACGCCUAGCAAAUCCCAUAAAACCAUUUCAGUUCGGAUUGUAGGCUGCAACUCGCCUACAUGAAGCUGGAAUCGCUAGUAAUGCGGAUCAGCAUGCCGGGUGAAUCGUUCCCGGC